GGGGGGGUUAUAUUUUCUGACUCGGGGGCUUUGUCUUUUUGCAGUAACUGAAGAGCAAUUUAAUGAGCCUUUGCUGGCUUCCCUCUUCUCUUUGCCACAGUUUUCCUCCAUCUCCUUUGCUGGUCACAAAGCCUGCUGGGGUGGGAAGGAGCAUGAGGACUCCUGGGCGUGGACUUUUGAUCAUCCUCACGUUGGUUUUCACAUUUCAGCACUCGCCACCUUGAAGACGUCCUUACAGUGCGGUUGUCAUGUCACUUUAGCUUCCCCUUCAUGUGUGCGUCAUAUCAUUUGGGACAGAGAAUGACAUGUGGAUCCGCGAUUCAGUUGUGAAAUGAAAUAUUGACUCUGCGAGCAGCAGGGGGGCCCACAGCAUGGACUCUGCCUUCUCACUGAGAGUUCUGUGAUGCUGGGAUGCGCUGUCAACCGUUCUGUGCUGAUUCGUAUCCUGUCCCUGGUCCUGACGGCCACUUUGUGCUGAGUGUAUCAAAGCACAGAGCAGUAGAAACGUUCUUCAAUUUGUUUGAAAAGUUCUUCAGAUGGGGAAUCUUCACGGUUGCUACAGAGGUAGGUUCAGUUGGCCCGUUGAAUGCUGUCCCUUCAAAUGGGCCUGUUAAUAUUUCUCAGAAUAUUAUCUCAUCAUUUUACUUUUCCCUUCUGCCUUUUGUCAUGGGGACUUAUAAAUGUGUUUUAUAGUUUUGCUUUCUCCCUCAAAUUAUACAUUUCGUUCUUCUAUCAAUCACAUUGCUUUUAAUUUUUUCUCCAUUUAGAAAAGAUAUUGUUUCCUGUUAUAUUCAGAACCCCUCACCUCCCACAUAGAUGUUCAUUGAAGAAAUAUGGAAUGUACAUUUAAUGACAUUUUUACCUUGUCAGAAACUGUUUUCAAGUAUUAAUUUCAGAGGUUUGAUGGCAGUGCGGAAUUGUGGAGAUGUGUGGGGAGGCCUUUCACCCAAUGAAGGGAACUGAGCAUCAUCUGUAACACGGCUUCUCUCUCUUUUCAUCCUGAAACAGUCAGUGAACUCAGUGUAUGUGGGGCGUGAUGCUUCCAUUCGUACGACUGGGUUUCCAGAUCGUAUUAUUAGAAUGCGUGUCUAGGGGUCAGUUUGUGAAGUCAAACACAUUUAUUUUUAUACCUUCAGGGUUUCCAAAAAUGCUCAUUUUAUGGGACUGGCCUGGUGGGGUAGUAGUUAAGCUUGCAAGCUCCACUUUGGCAGCCUGGAGUUUGUGGGUUCAGAUCCCAGGCAUGGACAGGUGCACCGCUCAUCAGGCCAUGCUGUGGUGGAGGCCCAUAUACAAAGUGCAGACAGAUUGGCACGGAUUUUAGCUCAGGGACCAUCUUCCCCAAGCAAAAAGAGGAAGAUUGGCGAUGGAUGAUGGCUCAGGGACAGUCUUCCUCACAAAAAAGAAAUUCUCAUUUUACAGAGCUAUCAGUUAUAUGUUAUCACUCCACCCAUUUGCAACACCAGAGUGACUUGCAACCUGUCUUAAUUUUGAACCACCUACAUUCUUGAGGAAAUAAUGUAAGAGGCAACUGCUUCACAGGUUUUAGAAUACAUGGCUUUUUAAUAGAUAAUCUCACUUUUCUUGUCACCUGGUGUUCAUCUUAUUUGACCAGAUGGCUGUCAACCCUGAGUGAGGCCCAUGGAUCCCGAAGGUGGAUCCCACUUUUUUUCUGGAGUGUCCUCUGACUCUCCAGGAGGCAGUCACCAACAGCAUUUCUGACACUUUCUUAUGAGUUCUUAAAACUGGGUUAGGGUUAAGAUAAAGCAGUUCCUUCUAGACAAAGCAGAUGUGUCUCAUAGAAAGAAUGAGAAGUCAGAAUCUGAGAAUUGAGAAUCCUGAGCUUGAAUGCAGCAGUGUUUUUAAGUUGUGAGAUCUGGGCCAUUAACUUCACCAUCAUUAACCUUCCUGAGUAUCUAUACUGCACACUUUACAUACAUUAAAUCCUUUCAUAUGCACGAUAGGCAUAUGUCAUGGUUUGAUUACUAUCGUCACUCCCUGGGUGGAGAAAUAAAGGUACAGAGACGAAUAUGCCCAAGUGGAUGAGCUCUGAAGUAGAACAGUUAAGAUGUGACCUCAGACAUGGGGUCCCAACGCUGAAGCUCAGAACCACUGACCCACACUUAUCUCUCAGCCAUGGGAACCUUAGUCUGCAUGCAAGAGAUUUCCAGCACAUGUGAAUAUGCCUGGGAUUACUUGAGUCCACGGAAAUCCUAAACACUGUCCACUUUACAAGGUAGCAUCAGUGGUCACAGAGCCCAGGGCAGCCAUCAGUACCUAAUAGCGCAGUUUUGGCAUAGUCAUCAGUGAGGAAGGCACAUAGGAAAUUCAAAUGCUUUGGAUCAGUUCCCAGAUCCUGCGAUUUAACAGCAUCACUUGGGACAACUGAACAAAGUCUGUCAGUUCUCAGUCGCUCCUCAGCAUGUGUCCCAGAUCUACUAAAAAUGGGGGAGAUUCUCUUGGGGUAUUUGAUGUCAUUCUAACUAUGAUCCCAAGAAAUGUGGAAAUCUCAUAACAUACACAUUCUGGGAACAAUGACAAAGUAGAUCUCGAAGUACCACUUAGUAGCCUCCAUGUCACCCUCUUGCCUCUCCCUUGUACAGAUGGGUUAAAGAGCCUCAGUGCUCAGCAGGGGCUGCUCCCCGUCAUGCCUUAUCCAUUGAUGGUUGUCCGGUCUGUACGUACACAGCCACCCACACAAUGAAGCAAACACAUGGCACAGGAAAGGAAGACUGUAAGGAAAAUGACCUAAUAAUCCACAGGAGCAAUUUUUAAAGGUAUACAUUCCAGUAUUUCCUACUCUUCAAUAACUGAUUAUUUUAUAACACAUGGCAAGUGAAUAAACAGACACUAAUGAUGUGCCUAAUAUUAAAUCCAGUUCUUUAAUAAAUGUUUGCAUAUAAUAAGGGUUCAAUCAAGGAAUGGACAGGUCAAUUGAAUCCCAAAGACUGGCGAUAAUUAGUGAAUGAAUGUGGUCAUAUUGAGAUCAAAUUUUACAUAGGGCAUCCUUUAUGUGUUUUUUUGUGCAGCAGUGCUGUUUUUGACUAGGUCACUAUUGUAAGAGUCUCUGCUAACAGUGGGGCAAAACCUUGGGAUAAGAAAUGCAAUCUUGUGAGGUUGCGAUAGGUCUAGGAUGAUAACAUCCCGUGGCUUUGGUAGAGACCUGAGUUCCUUAGUUAUGGAAGAGUGGUUGGGGUGCUCUGAAGCAUAUUAGGUUUUCUGAGAAUAGGGAUGUCAUUCUCUCCUGAGUAAUAUGGAGACACCCAUAAAGCAGGGCCAUCGUCCUAAAUUACUUGAGAGACUCUGAGGCAGGGAUAUGAGAUUUAUCAGAACAGGGAUGUGCACCUCGCUUGUGGGAUUUGUGAUCUCUCUGAGAGCGGGCUGGGCUUCACAGAAGGUUUCAGGAUUGCUAAGAGAGAUAAUCUAGCAUAUUCCCAAUUUGUAUAUCAUAAAUCAUAGAAACUCCACAAGAUCAGCAUUGCAAGAAUAUGAAAAACCACGCAAAAUCUCUAGCAAUUAGCAAAAUGCAUAUUAACCUACAUCUCAUUCCUACACCCAGCAGAAUGGGGACCUUGUCAGGGUUAGUAUUACCAACAGUUGAUGAGGAUAUGUAGGAACUGGAACUGUCACAUGCCGCAGUGGGAAUGUCCAUUGUGUCCACCAAUUUGGUAACGGGUUCUCUAGUGUGUAUUACAGUUACAUGUACCUAUGAUCUAGCAGUCCCACUCCUGCCACAUAUACCCAAGUGACAUAAAUGAGACAGGUCUGAGUAUGUCCACCUGGAGUUCUACAAGGAAUCAUUCAUGGCAGCAUCAUUCCAAGUAACCGCCAUGGAAAAAUGCCAUAGUAUAUGUAAAACGUAAAGGGAGCAAACUCACUCUGCUGCAUACUUACAAUGCCAUAUACUGACACCACAAUGCAAAAUAACAAAUUUUUGCUUCACAAAGCAACAUAGGUGAGAUUCACAUAAUUUUCAUUAAUAAUAUCCAAUGAGACACCGUAGAGUUUGCUCUGUAUAUUUCACAUUGAAAAACAGAGAAAUCUAAAAUAUGGUGGUCAUGGUCAGAAGAGUGGGGACUUGUUGAGGCUACUGACUGGGCUUUAGGGAAAGAGAGGAUUCCAGGAGACUUCUGUCAAUGAAAAUAAUCCAUAACAAAUCUGUAAAUCAAAAUUGGGGUGAGUUUAUUAUGAGCUAACCCUGAGGACCAGAUAGCCCGGGAGAGUCCUUUCCCAUGGAAUGGAGCAGUCCAAGAAGUGGGGCCUGCAAAGUGGUUAUAUACCAUCAAAGAGCAUGUAUCAUUAGAAUGUCCUUUUACAAUAGUCACGAGACUGCUUUGCUGGCACAGAAAUUUGGUGAACACAGCGGGUUGGUGGUCUCAAGGUGGGUGGUCACAAGAUGAGCACAGCAGGUCAGCAAUCGAUCCUUAGUUUAGGGAGAGAUACUUAUGCUUAAGGAAAUGCUAAUGUGGGGGAUGUGUCAUCCUUAUCUUUAGGGGCAUUGUUCUUCUCUUUGAGAUAUAGUAAAUACUUAAAGCAGAUAUAAAAUGCAUGCUCAACAGCCACAUCAGGCCCUUUUGGAAAAACAAGUUCAGGCUGAAUUAGUUUUACAAAAUGGCAUCCUCAUAUACUCAACUAUAUCCUAUUGCUUGUCAUUUACUCAUCACUUCAGACAUUCUGUGAAUCAAUCUGGAUGUUGGCAAUUUGUGUGCUCCUAUUUACAAGAAGCCAUCAAGCUGUGAACUUUAAAAUGUAUCAAGUAUGCAUUGAUAAAGAGCAAUCAAAAGAAAUAUGAACAACUUAUAAAUUAUUUCACAAAGCAAUAUCAGACUCGGCUGCUGUCCUCUGAUUGCUUUUCAAUAUUUAAAAUACAGUAACGCCAAUCUUGUACACACAUUUGCAGAGGAUUGAUAGUGAACACAUCCUGAAUUUUUCAUCAGGUCAGGAGAGACUUGACACCACCCAAGCAAUACGGAUUAAAAAACGGGUACAGGCCAAACUCUUCUGAAUGUUGACGCCGAUUCUGAAACCAAACAUCAGUAAUCUGGAUCCAGACAGUUUGGGAAGGAGAGAAAGUGGGAUUUGAUGGUGGAAUUCCACAGUGUUCAUGCAGAAAGGACCACUGGCUGUUUGAGUGUUGCCUGGGAGAGUGGAGAGAAUGGAUCCUGCCAUCUGCUUAGUGGAAUGGACAUUUGGGGACAGAAGGAAAGAGGCCUUGUUGGUCCUCUGGGAGAGACAUGGGGUGGAGGUCACAGGCUGUGCCUGUGGAGGAGCCCCUCUAAGAGAGGAUGUGAUUCUGACCCUGACCCUGCAGCAUCUAGAGAUGAAUGUGGAGUCUGUGGAGUUAAAAUUGAACUUUGGUGAGGAAGGAAUGAGCCAGGAAGGUGCACACACUCACCGCUAGUGCAGCCACGGCCCAUUGGCCGCCAGGUCUUCCUCCAGGCAGAACAGAUAUUUGCUCAGAUUAAUAGUCAGGGAGACUGGGGAGGCUGCAGAUUUAGUUCAUUAAACUCCCGAAGCCCCAGCCCAGAGGGACACUUCCUCAGUCAUUUCACAGGAACUGCUUCUCCUUUCAGUUUCUCUCAGUUAUCCGACAGCAUGCCCUGUCAGUUAAAGGGGAAUUGAUUCUCCUUUGUGUGUGUGAUGAACAUUUACCCUGAACUAACAUCUGUUGCCAGUCUCCCUUCUUUUGCUUGAAGAAGAUGGUCCCUGAGCUAACAUCCGUGUCAAUCUUCCUCUACGUUGUAUAUGGGAUGCAGCCACAGCAUGGCUUGAUAGGCAGAGUGUAAACCCACUCCUGGUGUCCGAAUCUGCACACCUGGGGCUGCCGAAGUGGAGGGUGUGAACAUUGCACCACGGGGCCAGCCCCAAAGGGGAAUUGAUUCUUGCAGAGCCAUCAUGUGACAGUCAAUUUGGAAUGUCCUGGCAUCUGAGUCACAUUGAGAGACAAGAUAACCACUGGACACUCGCUGUUCUUACCUGAUCAUCAGAAACACUCAGCACAAGGCACUUGAGGGUGAAGAUGGGGGCAAGGAAAGUCAUUAAUGUGAACUUAGCAAGGUCCCUCCCGGUGGUUUCCAUUUGAGGCAACUGUGUCACAUUUUGGGUCAGGAAUUGAAGGGUAGGGAAAAGGACAGGUUAUGAUUUGGGACCUAUUCUUAUCUCAGCAUCUCCUCCAGGGCAUCAACUGUGUCCUCCUAUAAAGCUUGGGGUAGGAAAAUUUGAGAAAGCGAGUGAGGGGAGCUCUUGAUUCCCGGUUGAGGACAUGAUCUAGAGGUCUCAGUUGUUCAGGGGUCUCUGCCCAAGGGAAACAACACUUCCUGUCCCAGAUCUGUCACUCAUGAGUGUUGUGACUCUUGGAGAAUCACUUAACUUCUCUAAAUGUCAAUACCUUCAAGUACAAUGUGUGGGAUACAGCCCUACUCUCCCACGGGACUGAUGUGAGGAUCACAGGAGAUGGUACCAGAUAUUCUGCAAGAGCUAUAAAACAUGUCCUCCCUGUAAGGGAUAAGAGUCAGCUUCCACCCUCCACUGCCCUGGGGCCGUCCAAGCCCCCUCCCUGAAUUCAGCCCCCAAGUGUCUAGCUGAUUCUUCCAGAUAUUUAAUUAUUAAACACUUACAGAUCACUUGUGAAGUGCUAGUCCUCUUUAUUCAAGCUUUACCAGUAUUAAAUCAUUUUUAGC
rnacentral:lncRNA from 1 species